AGCGAGGCUAGAGUCACGCCUCGGCACUUCCUCCGUUGUCCUGGCGUGCUAGAGUGCUCGCAGAGUAAAAAAAAAGUCUUUGUUAUUCGUUGGCUGCCAAUUGUGGUGACGCAGCCAAUCACCAACUCAGACACAUGA